rnacentral:rRNA from 1 species
GACGAACGCUGGCGGCGUGCUUAACACAUGCAAGUCGAACGGUAAGGCUCCAGCUUGCUGGGGUACACGAGUGGCGAACGGGUGAGUAACACGUGGGUGACCUGCCCUGCACUUCGGGAUAAGCCUGGGAAACUGGGUCUAAUACCGGAUAGGACCGCACCGUGAGGGUGUGGUGGAAAGCUUUUUCGGUGUGGGAUGGGCCCGCGGCCUAUCAGCUUGUUGGUGGGGUAAUGGCCUACCAAGGCGGCGACGGGUAGCCGGCCUGAGAGGGUGGACGGCCACAUUGGGACUGAGACACGGCCCAGACUCCUACGGGAGGCAGCAGUGGGGAAUACUGCACAAUGGGCGGAAGCCUGAUGCAGCGACGCCGCGUGGGGGAUGACGGCCUUCGGGUUGUAAACUCCUUUCACCAUCGACGAAGGGUUUCUGACGGUAGAUGGAGAAGAAGCACCGGCUAACUACGUGCCAGCAGCCGCGGUAAUACGUAGGGUGCGAGCGUUGUCCGGAAUUACUGGGCGUAAAGAGCUCGUAGGUGGUUUGUCGCGUCGUCUGUGAAUUCCGGGGCUUAACUCCGGGCGUGCAGGCGAUACGGGCAUAACUUGAGUACUGUAGGGGAGACUGGAAUUCCUGGUGUAGCGGUGAAAUGCGCAGAUAUCAGGAGGAACACCGGUGGCGAAGGCGGGUCUCUGGGCAGUAACUGACGCUGAGGAGCGAAAGCAUGGGGAGCGAACAGGAUUAGAUACCCUGGUAGUCCAUGCCGUAAACGGUGGGCGCUAGGUGUGGGUUUCCUUCCACGGGAUCCGUGCCGUAGCUAACGCAUUAAGCGCCCCGCCUGGGGAGUACGGCCGCAAGGCUAAAACUCAAAGGAAUUGACGGGGGCCCGCACAAGCGGCGGAGCAUGUGGAUUAAUUCGAUGCAACGCGAAGAACCUUACCUGGGCUUGACAUAUACAGGAUCGCGCCAGAGAUGGUGUUUCCCUUGUGGCUUGUAUACAGGUGGUGCAUGGUUGUCGUCAGCUCGUGUCGUGAGAUGUUGGGUUAAGUCCCGCAACGAGCGCAACCCUUGUCUUAUGUUGCCAGCACGUUGUGGUGGGGACUCGUAAGAAACUGCCGGGGUUAACUCGGAGGAAGGUGGGGAUGACGUCAAAUCAUCAUGCCCCUUAUGUCCAGGGCUUCACACAUGCUACAAUGGUCGGUACAGUGGGUUGCCAGUCCGUGAGGGCGAGCUAAUCCCGCAAAGCCGGUCUCAGUUCGGAUCGGGGUCUGCAACUCGACCCCGUGAAGUCGGAGUCGCUAGUAAUCGCAGAUCAGCAACGCUGCGGUGAAUACGUUCCCGGGCCU